UAAAACUUUAUUCAUUUGUAUACUUAAAUUGACUAGCUAGAAAAAAACUAGUAUUCUAUAUGUUUUAAGCGAAAUCGCGAAUUUCUAGCUUGGCAUUCGAGUAGGAUUAUAGUUUUCGUAAUUGGCAACACUGGUGUACUUCAGUCAGUUUGCUAGAAGUCAGUUUGAUUAGAAUAAAUGUCAACGGUUUGAUUGCUUUGCGACUAUCGUUUCUUUUGUGAUUUUCUAUGCGUUUCAUGGUUUUAUUCUAACAACUUUGGCUUGAUUACGGACUCCGAUUAGAUUGCGUACUUGGUAGACUCGGCUGUGUGUAAAGGACUGGAUUUUCCUGGCAUUUUCGGAUAUUGCUCUGUCUGUGAUCGAAUUUAGUUGUAUUAUAAUUACAACAAUGGAUGUAGAAUAUAGUAUAUUGUAUAAAUUGUGGAUCUGCUGGAGGUUCUUUGGUAUUAGGAAACGAAGAUAUACUUCGUUGCAUACAACAAUGGACUGUUCCCCGUAUGGUUGAAGCUCAUGACCUUAUAUGUACGACGUGUUGGUCUGAAGCAGUCGAGCAUAAUAAGAUGCAAUGCACUGUUGGACGCAAUUGUGUACUUUGUAAGAAGCUCCUACCAUCAGGCAUUACUGUUGCAAUUGUAUCGUUGGGCGUAGAACAGUGGGCUGUUGUGCCCACAUAAUGACUAUAAUUUGGUAUUUAAGCUGGGCGAGAUACCAAAAUUCAAUUGAACCCCCUGCUCAGUUCUUAGAUAAUAUAUUAUUGAGAAAUAUUGAUGAUUAAAAACCUUUAAUUGAAUAUAAA
rnacentral:lncRNA from 1 species